CUUUAACAAUCCGGAACAAGCUGAAAAUUUGAAACAACCGCAGUGCUGUUGCAAAACAGGACUGACGGGUCUCUCAAUAACUCCAAUCCGAAGACACCUUCGG
rnacentral:sRNA from 1 species